CAAUAGCGUAUAUUAAAGUUGUUGCGGUUAAAAAGCUCGUAGUUGGAUUUCUGCUGAGGACGAUCGGUCCGCCCACUGGGUGAGUAUCUGGCUCGGCCUUGGCAUCUUCUUGGAGAACGUUGCUGCACUUGACUGUGUGGUGCGGUAUCCAGGACUUUUACUUUGAGGAAAUUAGAGUGUUUCAAGCAGGCGCACGCCUUGAAUACAUUAGCAUGGAAUAAUAAGAUAGGACCUUAGUUCUAUUUUGUUGGUUUCUAGAGCUGAGGUAAUGAUUAAUAGGGAUAGUUGGGGGCAUUCGUAUUUAACUGUCAGAGGUGAAAUUCUUGGAUUUGUUAAAGACGGACUACUGCGGAAGCAUUUGCCAAGGAUGUUUUCAUUGA
rnacentral:rRNA from 1 species